rnacentral:rRNA from 1 species
CCUACGGGAGGCAGCAGUGGGGAAUAUUGGACAAUGGGCGAAAGCCUGAUCCAGCAAUGCCGCGUGAGUGAUGAAGGCCUUCGGGUCGUAAAGCUCUUUUACCAGGGAUGAUAAUGACAGUACCUGGAGAAUAAGCUCCGGCUAACUCCGUGCCAGCAGCCGCGGUAAUACGGAGGGAGCUAGCGUUGUUCGGAAUUACUGGGCGUAAAGAGUACGUAGGCGGUUAUUCAAGUCAGAGGUGAAAGCCCGGGGCUCAACCCCGGAACUGCCUUUGAAACUAGAUAACUAGAGUCUUGGAGAGGUUAGUGGAAUUCCGAGUGUAGAGGUGAAAUUCGUAGAUAUUCGGAAGAACACCAGUGGCGAAGGCGACUAACUGGACAAGUACUGACGCUGAGGUACGAAAGCGUGGGGAGCAAACAGGAUUAGAUACCCUGGUAGUCCACGCCGUAAACGAUGAUAACUAGUUGUUCGGUCACUUGGUGACUGAGUGACGCAGCUAACGCAUUAAGUUAUCCGCCUGGGGAUACGGUCGCAAGNUUAAAACCNCAAAGUGAAUUGACGGNUGAGAGUUGCGAGACGACGACGAGGAGAGG